rnacentral:rRNA from 1 species
GCUUGGUUGGUGAGGUUACGGCUCACCAAGGCGACGAUCAGUAGCCGGCCUGAGAGGGCGGACGCCCACACUGGGACUGAGAAACGGCCAGCUCUACGAGCAGCAGUGGGAUGUACGCAUGGGCCCAAGCUGACGACGCACGCGCUGGAGAUGAAGUCUCGGAUGUAACUCCUGUGGACCGGGAAGAAUGGCCUGACUACACGUCGGGGCAAUGACGGUACCGGUUGAGGAAGCACGGCUAACUCUGUGCCAGCAGCCGCGGUAAUACAGAGGUGGCAAGCGUUGUUCGGAAUUACUGGGCGUAAAGGGCGCGUAGGCGGCCGCCUAAGUCAGACGUGAAAUCCCCAAGCUUAACUUGGGAACUGCGUCUGAUACUGGGUGGCUGGAGUUCGGGAGAGGAAUGUGGAAUUCCAGGUGUAGCGGUGAAAUGCGUAGAUAUCCGGAGGAACACCGGUGGCGAAGGCGGCAUCUGGACCGAAACUGACGCUGAGGCGCGAAAGCCAGGGGAGCAAACGGGAUUAGAUACCCCGGUAGUCCUGGCCCUAAACGAUGAGUGCUUGGUGUGGUGGGUAUCGAUCCCUGCCGUGCCGAAGCUAACGCAUUAAGCACUCCGCCUGGGGAGUACGGUCGCAAGGCUGAAACUCAAAGGAAUUGACGGGGGCCCGCACAAGCGGUGGAGCAUGUGGUUCAAUUCGACGCAACGCGAAGAACCUUACCUGGGCUCGAAAUGCAGCUGACAUCCGGCGAAAGCCGGCUCCCGCAAGGGCAGCUGUAUAGGUGCUGCACGGCUGUCGUCAGCUCGUGUCGUGAGAUGUUGGGUUAAGUCCCGCAACGAGCGCAACCCUCGUCCUCUGUUGCCAUCACGUUAUGCUGGGCACUCUGAGGAGACUGCCGGUGAUAAACCGGAGGAAGGUGGGGAUGACGUCAAGUCAGCAUGGCCUUUAUGUCCAGGGCCACACACGUGCUACAAUGGCCGAUACAAAGCGUCGCAUCUCGCAGAGUGAGCUAAUCGCAGAAGUCGGUCUCAGUUCGGAUUGUCGCUGCACUCGCCGACUGAGUUGGAAUCGCUAGUAAUCGCGGAUCAGCAUGCCGCGGUGAAUACGUCCCGGCUUGUACACACCCCCCGUCCAUCCGAACCUGCCUGUACUAGAAGUAGCCGCCAACCCGCAGGGGGCAAGUCCUAAGUAUGCUCAGUGAUUGGGGUGAAGUCGUAACAAGGUAACC